CAGUAGCCGCGGGAAUACAGAGGGUGCGAGCGUUAAUCGGAUUUACUGGGCGUAAAGCGUGCGUAGGCGGCUUCUUAAGUCGGAUGUGAAAUCCCUGAGCUUAACUUAGGAAUUGCAUUCGAUACUGGGAAGCUAGAGUAUGGGAGAGGAUGGUAGAAUUCCAGGUGUAGCGGUGAAAUGCGUAGAGAUCUGGAGGAAUACCGAUGGCGAAGGCAGCCAUCUGGCCUAAUACUGACGCUGAGGUACGAAAGCAUGGGGAGCAAACAGGAUUAGAUACCCCAGUAGUUCCUGUCUCUUAUAA
rnacentral:rRNA from 1 species